AGAACAGACCGGUCUGCAUCUACAAACAUGCUCAUCAAACUCUUCCUUCUCUUCACUGCUUGGAUUUGUGUCGGUGGUGUCAUUGUAGUGACCCAGAAUCCUGCAGUUCUCACAGUAAAUAAAGGACAGACGGCAACACUGGACUGUAAUCUGGACACUGUUACUGAUAGUGCUGCUCGAUGGUAUAAACAGACAACUGGAGCUGUGCCACACUUUGUCUUGUUUUUUUAUCAUCCAAACAGUUCUCCUACCUAUGGAUCUGAUUACUCUGCUCCUAAAUUCACAUCAACACAUUCAUCUAAAUCAGAUUAUAGUUUGAUCAUCAAUAAUGUAGAUGUGAGAGAUUCAGCUGUGUAUUACUGUAGCACCUAUGACAGCUCUGCUAAGGAGUGAGUAUCACAGUGAUUUACAUCAUGACAAAAACCUCCUCACUGUUCACAGUCACUUCUGCUUUUAGCAUUAGGCACAGACAGAGUUUGCUUCAUUGGCUGAAAGUAUUUUUACAAAAUAAAUAAUAUCCGAAAACAAAUAAAUACCUUUAUGUACAUUUUAAAACAUUACUUUGUAAACUAUUGUUAAUCUGGUCAUAAUAUUUUUAUUUAUCAAAACGUGGUGCUCUGUAAAGUCACUUUUAAUCCUGCCAUCCAAUCAUAAUGGAGGAGAGGCAAACCCAAUACUACACGACCAACAAGAACAUCCUACCUUUACUCCAGAACAACAACAUAAAAAUUAAUGUAGAUGGUCAAUUAUAUAACAGCUUGUGUUACCACAAUAAUACGCAUUGAUUUAACAAAUGAUCUGCAUAAUCAGAUACUUAUAAGACAGUAGUUGUUUUCAUCGACAAUACAAUGUUUGUAUUAUAGCAACCAAAACACAUCAACGCUUCUAAAGAGCCCUCCAUUGAUUGUUGUUAAAACGACAGCAAGAGUGUUCAGCUGCCCGAAAACCUUUAGUGAA